rnacentral:lncRNA from 1 species
CGGGAGAGACGGCAUUCUUGCCUUCUGAUGAGCUUGUAAUCAAUGCUAGUCUCCUCUUGAGAUAACCUAACAAUUCGAAGAGCAAGCAAAUAAUGGAAUGUUGAUGUUAGUCUCAGAACAACUUUCGAAGAAGAAGAAUGGUCUAAAAGGAUGGAAAUUCUGUAUUUCUAUACCGGGUGUUUCCAUGGUGAGGUUAGUCCAAUCAGUUGGUCUUUUCUUCAUUUCUGACGCCUUGAUUAACUCGAGAAGAGCUUUAUUAACCUGAAAUUGACCAGAAGGUAUGUUAAUGCCUUUUUCCAGGUUCCGAGAUUACAGAGAUACCAACAAGAGUAAGGACAAUGUGUUCCCUCUUCCACAAAGUAGCAAUGCUAUUCCUAAAAGACCUCAGAGCCUGUAAGUCUUUAUUAAUAGUUUGCUAUCAUGACUAACAAUGAGGUUUAAGUAACGGUAUGAUUGCUUACAAUGUUCGAUCAGUUGCUACAGCCGUCAAGUUUUUCUAAAUAGGUUGCCUUUAAAAUCUUUCUCCAUAUAUGAUUGAAUCAGUUCAUCAAAUUCAUAGUCAAUAUCUUGUUAUUUUCAGAAUAGUCUCAUUCUAUUUGGGUCUUAUAUUUUUCCUGCUAAGUUAAGGUAAUCUGAGUAUGACAUUCAUUAACAUUUACUGCAGACUGGAUGAGAUUAGGGAGCGACAAAGACUUAAGAUAUUAGGGCUUAUAUACAUCAGACGCAAGAGAGACAGAGAAGUUAAGACAUAGCUAAAUAAAACAAAAGUACCUCU